CUCCUGAAUCCUGCAAGUUGUUGUUACUCAGGUCCAGUUCUCUGAGACUGGAGGACUGGGAGCUGAGAACUGAGGACAGAGCUUCACAGCUUCUCUCUGAGACGUUACAGCCACUCAGUAGAACUUUGUUGGAGGCUUUAACCACUGGCAGCAGCCUCAGAAGAACCUCCUCUGAAGCAGAGUAUUUCUUCAGGUCAAACACAUCCAGAUCUUUUCCUGAUGACACUAAGAUGAAACCCAGAG